GCCGUAUUAAGACAUGGAACUUUAUCAUAAGGGCAAUGAGAAGUAAAUGAAAGAUUCUGAGCAAAGAAAAAUAUGGCCUUUGAGGUUAUCAUCUCAUCAAAUCUUCACAACAACCCUGCAUACUAUGAAAUUCUUGAUGACAGAGACUCAGUAUUAUUCAUCUUUCUGGCCUCAAGACUAAUAUACUGACCCUGAAAGAAAUAGGUACUCAAUUAAUAUUUGGUGGUCUGUGCCCUCCUGUUGGCCCAGUUUCUUCCCAGCGUUGUUCCUGAUUGAGACUGUAUGCUGGGUUUUGGAAAGCCCUGCUUUUUGUUAAUUGUUCAAACAAACCCUCUCUAAUAGCAGCACGUGUAAAAGAAGACUUUAGAAUUUAAUUUAUUCCAGUGUAAUGAGGCUGCCAAAAAGAGAUCAAGGAUCUUUCCCCUACUGUGCUGGUCUUGGGAGCUACACUGAAGGUAGUGCAACCACACGGAAGAAGGAGGCAGAAUCAGCAGUUUGAGAGCAGCAGUAAGAACACUGUUUAGACUUGAGACAUGGAAGAAGACUGACCUGGUCCCUGCAAUCCCAGGAGACUGUCAAGUUCCCCCAACCCUUUAAAGCCCUUCGCUAGUGGUUAUGGAAAGAGACAGAGCUACAUUCUACUCCUGGAUAAUCACUAGUUAAUGGUGUGAGGUUGG
rnacentral:lncRNA from 1 species